rnacentral:rRNA from 1 species
UACGUAGGGGGCUAGCGUUGUCCGAAUUUAUUGGGCGUAAAGAGCGUGUAGGCGGCCAGGUAGGUCUGCUGUGAAAACUCGAGGCUCAACCUCGAGACGUCGGCGGAAACCAUCUGGCUAGAGUCCGGAAGAGGAAAGUGGAAUUCCAAGUGUAGCGGUGAAAUGCGUAGAGAUUUGGAGGAACAACCAGUGGCGAAGGCGACUUUCUGGUCUGUAACUGACACUGAGGCGCGAAAGCGUGGGGAGCGAACAGG